rnacentral:rRNA from 1 species
GUCCUAGCCGUAAACGAUGUUCACUAGGUGUCGGGCCCUCUGGGUUCGGUGCCGCAGUUAACACAUUAAGUGAACCACCUGGGGAGUACGGUCGCAAGACUGAAACUCAAAGGAAUUGACGGGACCCGCACAAGCGGUGGAGCAUGUGGUUUAAUACGACGCUACGCGUGGAACCUUACCAAGGCUUGACAUGUAUAUGAAAUCUCUAUGAAAGUAGAGACCUGUCCUAAAGACACAUUUACACAGGUGUUGCAUGGCUGUCGU